GGCUGGCAGCCUUAAAUGACUGUAAAAAACAUUUAUUUAAACUUAGUGAAAAAGAACACGAGUCUUACUUCUUGAUUUCUGCUGAGAGGCCUCUGCCCUCCUGUAUUUAUCUCAGUACUGGCAGGGGUAUAAAAGAUCCAAAUUCUAGUUUAUCACUGCCAAUCCAGAAGAAUCUUGGAGUCUUACUGAGGACUUACUGAGGACAAUUGGUCCUGGUCAGAUCACUUAGAUCUCCCACUGAGUUUUGUUACACCAGCUGCCUAAAAAUCAUCUUUAGUGGACUUGGAUCUGCACAAAUUGAAAACUUUUCAAGUGAUGGUGUCCUCUUCCUAACAUCCAAUUCCCCACAUCUAUUGCCUCC